rnacentral:rRNA from 1 species
AGUGAACGCUGGCGGUAGGCCUAACACAUGCAAGUCGAACGGCAGCACAGUAGGAGCUUGCUCUUACGGGUGGCGAGUGGCGGACGGGUGAGGAAUACAUCGGAAUCUACUUUUUCGUGGGGGAUAACGUAGGGAAACUUACGCUAAUACCGCAUACGACCUACGGGUGAAAGCAGGGGAUCUUCGGACCUUGCGCGAUUGAAUGAGCCGAUGUCGGAUUAGCUAGUUGGCGGGGUAAAGGCCCACCAAGGCGACGAUCCGUAGCUGGUCUGAGAGGAUGAUCAGCCACACUGGAACUGAGACACGGUCCAGACUCCUACGGGAGGCAGCAGUGGGGAAUAUUGGACAAUGGGCGCAAGCCUGAUCCAGCAAUACCGCGUGGGUGAAGAAGGCCUUCGGGUUGUAAAGCCCUUUUGUUGGGAAAGAAAAGCAGCAGGUUAAUACCCCGCUGUUCUGACGGUACCCAAAGAAUAAGCACCGGCUAACUUCGUG